GGCAUAUGUUGAAUCUAUGUUAAAAUAUGAACUAGCAUUACAGAAAACAGGCUAAACUAUUAACUAGCAUUACAGAAAACAGGUUAAAAUAUUAACUAGCAUUACAGAAAACAGGUUAAAAUAUGAACUAGCAUUAAAGAAAACAGGUUAAAAUAUGAACUAGCAUUAAAGAAAACAGGUUAAAAUAUGAACUAGCAUUACAGAAAACAGGUUAAAAUAUGAACUAGCAUUACAGAAAACAGGCUAAACCAUUAACUAACAUUACAGAAAACAGGCUAAAAUAUGAACUAGCAUUACAGAAAACAGGCUAAACCAUUAACUAACAUUACAGAAAACAGGUUAAAAUAUGAACUAGCAUUACAGUACACAAACUUAACCAUGAAUUAGCAUUACACAUAACAAACUAAACCAUGAACUACUAUUAUAGCAAACAGGCUAAACCAUAACCUAGCAUUACAAUAAAAAGGCAAAAUCUAUGGACUAGCAUUAUAGUAAACAGUUCAAAUAUGAACGAGUAAUCAAUGACCUAACAUUACAACAAAUCAUUAAAUCAUGAACUAGCAUUUUAGUAAACUGGCUAAACUAUGGGCUAGCAUUAUACUAAACAGCUAACAUAUAAACAUGAAUUUCUUAGUGAGAUUUUGUAGCAAAAAUACACAUCUAGCUUAAUACACUGGCAUUUUAAACUUCUGAAAACCACAAGAUGUGAAAUUACUUAAUUUACAAAUCAUUCUUGAUGACUCAUAAAACAAACAGUCAAUAUGUUGUUAUUAUCAAGAAAUUAAUGGAUAAACACCAACACCAAGCUAAUGGGUAGUUGGCCAGGGAUGGGGGGAGGUCAUAUUUUCUCUUCACUUUGCUUCCUCAAGCAAAACAAAAGUGUGCCAUUACUGUGGACUAUAAAUGUGUGUUCAUGUGAAUGUAAAAUUCCACUACAACUCGACACACAAUUUCCACACUCUGUUUUCAAGAAAAUGUUUCCUUUUGCCACUUUUGCCUUCGCAAACAUCAAACAUCAGGAGCAUCUGAGGCCCUUCCACAGGCCUGACAAUGUGACCUAGUAAUACAAUAUCACUUCAUUAAAACUGUGCACACAUGCUCACAAACAGUUGUUCUUUAAUCUUCUACCAACUGUUUGGUAUUUGUUGGACAGAUAAAGCAUAUGAGAUAUAGACAUAACUGACCAACAAUAAUAUUUGUGCUCAGUAAAUCCACAUCAUUCAAAUGUUGUUUACUGCAGUAAUACAUCAUAAAUCACAAUGCUGAAUAGAGUUCCUGGUGCUAACUUUUGAUCUAAAGGAAUACAGCCAGGUUUGUUAACCUCACUGCAUGGCUAUCGUUACACCUAGCUUGCACAACAACACAAGCUUCAACAAACCAUGAAGCUUAAAAAUGAACCAUGAAGCAGUUACAUGAUCUGAAGUCAUGAUCAGGUAACUACCUGACAACAAUAAAAAUUUAACUUGUGUAAUAGACCAGAGAUCUUUUGAAAUCCAUUAAUUGAUGCGUAGUGACUCUGAAAAUUAGCAUACAGUCUUCUGUCAAACUGCUGGAACGGCAAGGCCAGUUCAUUUAUUUUUGCUGUAGACUGAACACAUCUGGCCUUGAGAUCAAAAGAUGAAUAUGAGAAGAGAGUUUAGAAUUUCAGCUUUUAUUUCCUGGUACUUACAACCCCAAUUCCAAAAAAGUUGGGACACUGUGUAAAAUGUACAUAAAUGUAAAUAAAAACAGAAUGCAAAGAUUUGCAAAUCCCAUAAACCCAUAUGUUAUUUACAAUAGAACAUAUGAAAACAUAUCAAAUGUUUAAACUGAGUAAAUGUACCAUUUAAAGAAAUAAAUAAGGUAGUUUUGAAUUUGAUGGCCGUAAACAUGUCUCAAAAAAGUUGGGACGGGGGCAACAAAAGGCUGGAAAAGUAAGUGUUAGUAAAAAAGACACAGCUGGAGGUUAAUUGGGAACAGGUCAGUAACAUGACUGGGUAUAAAAAGAGUAUCUUCUAGAGGCGGAGUCUUUCAGAAGUAAAGAUGGGCAGAGGUUCACCAAUCUGCGAAAACCUGCAUCUACAAUUUGUGGAACAAUUUCAGAAUAAUGUUCCUCAAUGUAAAAUUGCGAAGACUAUGAAUAUCUCAUCAUCAACAGUACGUAAUAUCGUCAAAAGAUUCAGAGAAUCUGGUCAAAUCUCUGUGAAAUCUCCACCUUUUUGGAAUUGGGAUGUGUUGAACAACACAAAACAGAACCUUUUUUAUCAGACCACCCAAUUGUUAGGCGAGUAAAAGUAUAGAAACAGACAAGUCUUGAAGUAAAUUAAAGUAAAUAGCAGUUAAUAUUUGUUUGAUUAUCCCUUGCUUGCAAUAACUGCACCAAGUCUGCGACUCACUAACACCACCAAAUUACUGGUGUCUUCUUUUGUGGUGCUUUUCCAGCCUUCUACAGGAGCUUCUUUUAGUUGUUGUUGUUGUUUUUUUGUUUUGUUUGUUUUUUUUUUUU
ensembl:lncRNA